rnacentral:rRNA from 1 species
UACGUAGGUGGCAAGCGUUGUCCGGAUUUACUGGGCGUAAAGAGCGCGCAGGCCGUCGUUCAAGUCGCGUGUGAAAGCCCCCGGCUCAACUGGGGAGGGUCACGCGAUACUGAUCGACUCGAAGGCAGGAGAGGGUAGUGGAAUUCCCGGUGUAGUGGUGAAAUGCGUAGAUAUCGGGAGGAACACCAGUGGCGAAGGCGACUACCUGGCCUGUUCUUGACGCUGAGGCGCGAAAGCUAGGGGAGCAAACGGG